rnacentral:lncRNA from 1 species
CAUGUGUGUAUGUGUAUGAGUGUGUGUGUGUUUGUAUGAGUGUGUGUCUGUGUGAGCAUGUGUGUAUGUGUGUGUAAGUGUGUGUGUGUAUGAGUGUGUGUGUCUGUGUGAGCAUGUGUGUGUGUGUGUGUGUAUGUGUAUGAGAGUGUAUGUGUAUGAGAGAGAGAGAGAAGGACACCUGAUUCAUGGGUUGGAGUGGGGCUGGCGGUGCGCAUGGACCGGAAGCCCAGUUCCGCUCGGGUGGGCACUGUCCCCUCCUCCAGCCCUGUGAUGCCCAGCAUCCCCAUAGAAGGCUGAGCAGCCCCCAGAAAGCACACAGACACAGGAUCCCACCGGAUCUGCACAGAACUGCCGGCACAGGUGAUGCACAGGAGACGUUUGCGGCACAGAGCUGAGCGUACUGGGGACCGGAGCUCGCGGCCAGGGAGGCGAGCCCAGCCCAGCUCCGGGCAGCAGCCCUGCGCCAGGUGGGCACGUCCUCCCAGCCCAGCCCAGCCUCGCCUCAGCCCAGAGGAGCCCUGCGUGGUGGACCUCACCGUGGGCGCACCAGCCCCGCGCGCCUCCCUAAGAUGCUCGAUUCCCGGCAAGACGCACAGCCCCAGCGGGCACAGGUCCGUGCCAGUGCGCCCACAACAGCGGCCCCCUCCUGCCUUCCAUGCAGAGCACCCAGUGCCCCUGGUAUUACACAGUCAGAAUUCUUUCCACAGCCAUGGCCUCGGGUUUAUCCUGGGUGUCCCAGUCCCUCCAGCGAUGACAUGCCCUCACUGGGUAUGUGUCAUCGACAAGCGCUCGCUGCGGCCUCCAGCACUAACAUUUAAUGAAGCGUGCGGAAGAAAAGUGGCUCCUCCAGGGGUGGGCGCGUGCGGUUUCCAGCUGAGAGCACAGACCCCCCACACCGCGAAUCUGAACGCACGAAUGGGCUGGUGCAGGGGUUCCAGACGGGGCCUGAUAAAGGCCGGCUGCGGGGCCUGCAUCCUGCAGACGCCCAGGCCUUCACUGCUGAGCCGCCGGCUUGUGUACGAGGUGGGGGGCAGCUGGGGAGCAUGCUCGCUUAAGUCUGGGGGCCGUGCUCACUGGCAGAGAAUCUGGCUCUGCACAACCCCAUGGCUGUUCCUACAGAGACCUGGCAAGCCUCGCCUUUCUGGAAUCACACUCUGA